rnacentral:lncRNA from 1 species
GCGUCAGACGUGCAUGCAAAGUAGAGGGUCUGCAUAUCCAGGCCUCCACAAAGGUUUAUAUUAGAUAAUUUGAGAUUUGAUCCCUAGUUUCACUGUGAUUCAGGUAAGAACUUGAUCCUUAAAUAAGUAGAACAUUAGAAAAAAUUUUUAGAUGCAACCUGGGCAUUCUAGAGGAAAACUGUUUUCUUCUCUUCAGACGGGAAGGUGGAGAC